AUAUUUUAAGCUUAAAAUGCCCAUCGCUGAGGGAGAUGAGGCUUUGAUAAAGUUAUUUUUAAGAUUUUCCCUUGCUACACACAUAUACAUAUACAUAUACAUAUACACACAACAAAGCUUGCAAGAAUAGGUCUUCUAGCAAGUCCAAGGUGGAUCUAGCUGGUCUGAAGAAUAGGUCUUCUUGAAAUAUUUGUGCUGUCAACAACCUUGAACCACUGGCUCCCAGGAUCACACGUAUCAUCUCUACCCAAGCACUUGCAGGCAUCUGUGACAAUGGUGCUGCUGGAGUCUACAUCCAAGCAAACCGUGGUGCUAUCCCCCAGCUUAGUUGACAG
rnacentral:lncRNA from 1 species